UGGGGAAUCUUGCACAAUGGGGGAAACCCUGAUGCAGCGACGCCGCGUGAACGAUGAAGCCCUUCGGGGUGUAGAGUUCUUUCGACAGGAACGAUAAUGACGGUACCUGGAGAAGAAGCUGCGGCUAACUACGUGCCAGCAGCCGCGGUAAUACGUAGGCAGCGAGCGUUGUUCGGAGUUACUGGGCGGAAAGAGUGCGUAGGCGGCGAGCCAAGUUUGGUGUGAAAUCUCCCGGCUUAACCGGGAGGGUGCGCCGAAAACUGGUUCGCUGGAGUAUGGGAGAGGAAAGCGGAAUUCCGGGUGUAGCGGUGAAAUGCGUAGAUAUCAGGAGGAACACCUGCGGUGUAGACAGCUUUCUGGACCAAAACUGACGCUGAGGCACGAAAGCGUGGGUAGCAAACA
rnacentral:rRNA from 1 species